rnacentral:rRNA from 1 species
GCCCUUAGAGUUUGAUCCUGGCUCAGAACGAACGCUGGCGGCGUGCUUAACACAUGCAAGUCCGACGUGAAAGGGGAGCAAUCCCCCGGUAGGGUGGCGAACGGGUGAGUAAGACAUGGGAAUCUGUCCUUGAGAUGGGGAUAUCCUUCCGAAAGGAGGGUUAAUACCGAAUACCGUCCGGUGGAUGAGAGUUCAUCGGGGAAAGGGAGGCCUCUGGCAACAUGCUUCCGCUCAAGGAGGAGCCCAUGGCCCAUCAGCUAGUUGGGAGGGUAACGGCCUACCAAGGCGAAGACGGGUAGCUGGUCUGAGAGGACGAUCAGCCACACUGGCACUGAGACACGGGCCAGACUCCUACGGGAGGCGGCAGUGAGGAAUUUUGCGCAAUGGGGGCAACCCUGACGCAGCAACGCCGCGUGUGGGAAGAAGGCUUUCGGGUUGUAAACCACUUUUGUAAGGGACGAAGUCCUUUCGGCAAAUAACCGAGGGGGAUGACGGUACCUUGCGAAUAAGCCACGGCUAACUCUGUGCCAGCAGCCGCGGUAAGACAGGGGUGGCAAGCGUUGUUCGGAGUAACUGGGCGUAAAGGGUCUGUAGGUGGUUUUUCAAGUCUUUGGUAAAACGCCGUGGCUCAACCAUGGUUUGGCCAAGGAGACUGGGAGACUCGAGGCUGGGAGAGGGAAGCGGAAUUUCUGGUGUAGCGGUGAAAUGCGUAGAGAUCAGAAAGAAGGCCGGUGGCGAAGGCGGCUUCCUGGAACAGACCUGACACUGAGAGACGAAAGCGUGGGGAGCAAACAGGAUUAGAUACCCUGGUAGUCCACGCCCUAAACGAUGGGAACUAAGUGUGGGGAGCAAUCCCCGUGCCGCAGCUAACGCAAUAAGUUCCCCGCCUGGGGAGUACGGCCGCAAGGUUGAAACUCAAAUGAAUUGACGGGGAAGGGC